UACGAAGGGUGCAAACGUUGCUCGGAAUUAUUGGGCGUAAAGCGCACGUAGGCGGCUUGGCAAGUCGGAUGUGAAAUCCCUCGGCUCAACCAAGGAAGUGCAUCCGAAACUGCCGAGCUUGAGUACUUAAGAGGAUCGCGGAAUUCCCGGUGUAGAGGUGAAAUGCGUAGAUAUCCGGAGGAACACCGGUGGCGAAGGCGGCUUCCUGGACCGAUACUGACGCUGAGGCGCGAAAGCUAGGGGAGCAAACGGG
rnacentral:rRNA from 1 species